ACGAACGCUGGGCGGCGUGCCUAAUACAUGCAAGUCGAGCGGAUCUUCUCCUUCGGGAGGAAGGUUAGCGGCGGACGGGUGAGUAACACGUAGGUAAACCUGCCCACAAAGGCCGGGAUAACAUUCGGAAACGAAUGCUAAGACCGGAUACGCAAGCCUGUCGCAUGACGGGCUUGGGAAACACGGCGCAAGCUGUGGCUUGUGGAUGGGCCUGCGGCGCAUUAGCUAGUUGGUUAGGGGUAACGGCUCACCAAGGCGACGAUGCGUAGCCGACCUGAGAGGGUUGAACGGCCACACUGGGACUGAGACACGGCCCAGACCUCCUACGGGAGGCAGCAGUAGGGAAUCUUCCACAAUGGGCGCAAGCCCUGAUGGAGCAAACGCCGCGUGAGUGAGGAAGGCCUUUCGGGUCGUAAAGCUCUGUUGCCAGGGAAGAAUAAGGGCUAGUUAACUGCUAGUCCGAUGACGGUACCUGAGGAAGAAAAGCCCCGGCUAACUACGUGCCAGCAGCCGCGGUGAUACGUAGGGGGCAAGCGUUGUCCGGAAUUAUUGGGCCGUAAAGCGCGGCGGCGCAGGCCGGUUUCUUUAAGUCUGGUGUAUAAGUGCGGGGCUCAACCCCGUGAGGGCACUGGAAACUGGAGAAACUUGAGUGCAGAAGAGGAGAGCGGAAAUUCCACGUGUAGCGGUGAAAUGGCGUAGAGAUGUGGAGGAACACCAGUGGCGAAGGCGGCUCUCUGGACUGUAACUGACGCUGAGGCGCGAAAAAGCGUGGGGAGCAAACAGGAUUAGAUACCCUGGUAGUCCACGCCGCAAACGAUUGAGUGCUAGGUGUUGGGGGGGAUCGCCCCCCUCGGCGCCGAAGGUUAACACAUUAAGCACUCCGCCUGGGGAGUACGGGUCGCAAGAACUGAAACUCAAAGGAAUUGACGGGGACCCGCACAAGCAGUGGAGUAUGUGGUUUAAUUCGAAGCAGCGCGAAGAACCUUACCAGGUCUUGACAUCCCCUCUGACCGGUCUAGAGAUAGGCCUUCCCUUCGGGGCAGAGGAGACAGGUGGUGCAUGGUUGUCGUCAGCUCGUGUUCGUGAGAUGUUGGGUUAAGUUCCCGCAACGAGCGCAACCCUUGAACUUAGUUGCCAGCACCUCGGGGUGGGCACUCUAGGUUGACUGCCGGUGACAAACCGGAGGAAGGCGGGGGAUGGACGUCAAAUCAUCAUGCCCCUUAUGACCUGGGCUACACACGUACUACAAUGGCCGGUACAACGGGCCGCGAAGCCGCGAGGCGGAGCUAAUCCUACCAAAGCCGGUCUCAGUUCGGAUUGCAGGCUGCAACUUCGCCUGCCAUGAAGGUCGGAAUUGCUAGUAAUCGCGGAUCAGCAUGCCGCGGUGAAUACGUUCCCGGGUCUUGUACACACCGCCCGUCACACCACGAGAGUUUACAACACCCGAAGUCGGUGGGGUAACCCGCAAGGGAGCCAGCCGCCGAAGGUGGGGUAGAUGAUUGGGGUG
rnacentral:rRNA from 1 species